AUGUAUAGCAAACUGAAGGAGAUAGGCAUUUUAGCAGUUGAGGGCUGUUGGGUGGGAAUGCAAAAACUCUCUGCUAAGACUUUUUCAGGUGAACAUAACAGACUUGGCCAAGCUAGCAUCUUAGCUGAAGCAGAUUCUCCAGUGCUCUUCAGUAGGGUCUUAAAAUUUAAAGGUUUUUCUUUUCCUGAGAAAACAAAAUACUUUGUUUUCUCAGGUUUUGCUUUUUGGCCUUUACCUAGCUUUAAAAAAAAAAGCAAAAGAUGCUGGUGGUUGGCACUCCUGGCUUCCAGGACAGGGUUCAAAUCCCUGCGGCGUCUUUGCUUGACUUUUACUUCUGCCUUUCCGUUUUCCUCCUUUUUCUUCAGAUGAAGUUAGGGGAAGUGGAAGUAGCUUCAAACUAUACUAUACCUCUUGAUUGAAUUUGUCCUAAACUGGUUUGUGUUUGUAUUUUCACAGGAAUCUAGUGUAAUUACUUUGCCCUUUUAAUUUUCAGGUAUCUCUCAUGCAUCUGUUGUUUGGAGCAGUCUCACUAUUUUUAAAAAUAGAUGACAUAUUAAUAAAGGUUGAAAAACUUCAUUGGUGUGAUUCUUUUGUGCAUAAGCUGAACUUCUCUAUCCAUGAGUAGUCAGAAGAUGGGUGUCUUGUGGGGGUUCUUGUUCCUGUUUUAACUAGUUGUCUAAAAAGCACACUGCACUGUCAAGCCACCAAAUUUCUAGGGGGGCAGGGGACCCCUCUGGAGGGGGAGGUGGUCUAGUGGGUGAGUGACCCGAAAGACCCAGUAACAUACCCACAGAAAUAAGAAGGGACACUUUAAAGCAGCAGUUGGCCGUGAGUGUGGCUGGAUCUGGAGAGCUGGAGACCACGUGGUCUGGUAGGUUGUCGAUUCCCAAGCUGUAAAGUGAUCUUGUGGUCACCUGUCCUGUGGAAUGGCCAGUGUUCCGGCAGAUAGACCUUCAAUUGCAACUGAAGUGCCCUUUUUAAGUCCUACCCAUCUUUUAAGUCCUUGCUUCUCAAGCCCUGUUCCCUGAAAAGGAGAGC
rnacentral:lncRNA from 1 species